AUCCCUAGCCAAGAAGAACAAGAACCAUCAACCACCAGUUCAGACCUGAGAUGUGACUGCUCUGUGCUGUUGCUGAUGACUCCAGUUAAUCCUACAAGACGUGCUGUGACACCAGCAGAGAUGAGUCCUCCAUCACAGAUGGUUGGUCAGUGACCUGCAGGUCGAAGGUCAUUGCAUCUCCAGCCCACAUCCACUGCCACUGUACUGAAGGGAAGUUAAAGACUUUCUGCUGCACUUACAUUUGGAUCAGCUCGAUCCAUGACAGUCAUUCAGGCAGUGAUGCCUGGACUGGAAACAAGCAUCCUUAAAAUAUUACAACAUUCCAGCUCCUGUGUUUGAAUGUAAAACAAAUGUGUUGUUUGAUCUGGAGACUGAACAAUAAAUACAUUUUAUUUUGAUUAUAGAAGUAAUGUAACUACAAACAAACUUAAUAAACUAAUAAUAAUAAACUAAUAAUAAGAAUAAUUAAAUCUGAGACGUUGUUUCAUUGUAACAUUAUAACAAUGAUGACAGUAUAACUGUUGUUGUUCAGCAGAACAGUGUCCAGGAUGUUGGCUGUUGUUUUACAUUUCAAAAUAAAAGUUGGGCUGAU